rnacentral:rRNA from 1 species
GAUGAACGCUGGCGGCGUGCCUAAUACAUGCGAGUCGAGCGAACGGACGAGAAGCUUGCUUCUCUGAUGUUAGCGGCGGACGGGUGAGUAACACGUGGAUAACCUACCUAUAAGACUGGGAUAACUUCGGGAAACCGGAGCUAAUACCGGAUAAUAUUUUGAACCGCAUGGUUCAAAAGUGAAAGACGGUCUUGCUGUCACUUAUAGAUGGAUCCGCGCUGCAUUAGCUAGUUGGUAAGGUAACGGCUUACCAAGGCAACGAUGCAUAGCCGACCUGAGAGGGUGAUCGGCCACACUGGAACUGAGACACGGUCCAGACUCCUACGGGAGGCAGCAGUAGGGAAUCUUCCGCAAUGGGCGAAAGCCUGACGGAGCAACGCCGCGUGAGUGAUGAAGGUCUUCGGAUCGUAAAACUCUGCUAUUAGGGAAGAACAUAUGUGUAAGUAACUGUGCACAUCUUGACGGUACCUAAUCAGAAAGCCACGGCUAACUACGUG